GGAUGAAGAACGUAAGAAGCGGCGGGAUAAGCGACGGAUCCAACGGAUCCCACGUAUCCAGCGGCCGUGGUGGAAGACAGUUGUUUCCUGAGUCUCGCUCUCCUGUUGCUGAACCACACUUGGAUCCUUGCCUCGAUACGACAAACUCACCUAGAAAUGACGCAGGGUCUGACGCCGGCAGCUGCCAUCUCGACGAUCUUCAGACGUAUGUGAUUCGGCAAUGGUCUUCCGUUUAUGAAAACACCUCCCAAUUGGUUGACGCGCCCCUGACCGGGUAUCGAGCCCAAGUCUGAAAAAUAGAGUCACCUUUGAAUAUACAUAUUCGGACGCCACGCGUCCGACACACGUCGGGGGUGCGAAGACACGAUGUUGCUACGGUCGAACAACAACAAUAAUUUAACAAUUCCGAGUUAGUCAAUCACCGCAGUUAUAAAAACGCCCUGCUGUACCUAUACCAAGCAAAUUUCGACAAGCGACACACUAAUUGAUCAAGGGUUGAUCGGAAUGCAGAUGUCUCUCGAAGGUCGUUGCAGCAGAGGACACCUACAUAGGUUGUAUAUCACAAGUAUAUGGACGUACUGUAUAAUUUUACAACCGAUCCCGUGGACGCUGCAGUUCGACACGAAUGUAUACAACCGUCGCGAAAAUUGUCGCUCUGGGAUCGGGAAGCGGGAGGAAAAAAAAAAGAAAAGGAAACGAAAAAAAAUUAUAUUAGGGGUAGGUACGCGUUUGUGUAACAUGUAAAUAACACGUGCAUCGAUCUUCGGAUUA